GCCCUGUUAGCUCAGUUGGUAGAGCAUUGGUCUUUAAUCGAAUGGUCGUGGGUUCAAGUACCACAUAGGGCG
rnacentral:tRNA from 1 species